CGGGGCGUGGCGCAGCCUGGCAGCGCGCUCGCUUUGGGAGCGAGAGGUCCCGGGUUCAAAUCCCGGCGCCCCGA
rnacentral:tRNA from 1 species